rnacentral:rRNA from 1 species
CGGUGGAGCGAUUUGUCUGGUUGACUCCGUCAGCGAACGAGACGCGAUUAACAUGCAAAUUGGUUACACACAACUUCGGUUACGUGGGCAACCUCUUAGAGUGGCGUUGGGUGUCUAACGCACGGAAGCUUAAGGCAAUAGCA